rnacentral:lncRNA from 1 species
CGACAGCCCAUUGGUCCGACAACCCAUUAGUCCAACAACCCAAUAGUCCGACAAUCCAUUGCUCUGACAGCCCAAUACUCGAACAACCCAUAAGUCCAACACUUAUCAAGUCAAGCAUAAGGGUAACAGGAUAAAAAAAAAUUGUCUGUCUGUAUUAUUACGUUUAGAUAUAAUAACAUGUUUUUAAAGAAAUAACUCUGUAUAUAUAACAUAAGGCUUAGGUAGUUCGAAUACUUUCUAUACAUGUACUCAAUUCGAAAUCUGUAUAUAGAAUAAAACAGAACAGAAUAUUUCAUUUUUCCAAAUUAAAGGGUCUAUGAAGAGC